rnacentral:rRNA from 1 species
UACGUAGGGACCAAGCGUUGUUCGGAUUUACUGGGCGUAAAGGGCGCGUAGGCGGUGCGGUAAGUCACUUGUGAAAUCUCCGAGCUUAACCCGGAGCGGUCAAGUGAUACUGUCGUGCUAGAGUGCGGAAGGGGCUACUGGAAUUACGGUGUAGCGAUGAAUGCGUAGAUAUCGUGAAGGAAGCACAGUGGCGAAGGCGCUGUCGGCGAACAGUU